GACGAACGCUGGCGGCGUGCUUAACACAUGCAAGUCGAACGGAAAGGCCCUGCUUUUGUGAGGUUCUCGAGUGGCGAACGGGUGAGUAACACGUGAGUAACCUGCCCUUGACUUUGGGAUAACUUCAGGAAACUGGGGCUAAUACCGGAUAGGAUCUCCUGCUGCAUGGUGGGGGUUGGAAAGUUUCGGCGGUUGGGGAUGGACUCGCGGCUUAUCAGCUUGUUGGUGGGGUAGUGGCUUACCAAGGCUUUGACGGGUAGCCGGCAUGAGAGGGUGAAUGGAAACAUUGGGACUGAGAUACGGCACAGAAGACUACGGGAGGCAGGAGGGGGGAAUAUUGCACAAUGGGCGGAAGCAUGAUGCAGAAACGCAGCGUGCGGGAUGACGGCAUUCGGGUUGAAAACCGAAUUAGCCUGAGACGAAGCGUGAGUGACGGUAAUGGGUAAAGAAGCACCGGCUAACUACGUG
rnacentral:rRNA from 1 species